rnacentral:rRNA from 1 species
GAAACUACGCCUACCAUGAAGCUGGAGUUGCUAGUAAUCGCGAAUCAGCAUGUCGCGGUGAAUACGUUCCCGGGCCUUGUACACACCGCCCGUCACACCAUGAGAGUUGGCAAUACCCAACGUACGUGAUCUAACCCGCAAGGGAGGGAGCGUCCUAAGGUAGGGUCAGCGAUUGGGGUGAAGUCGUAACAAGGUAUC